rnacentral:misc_RNA from 1 species
AAGUCGUAACAAGGUUUCCGUUGGUGAACCUGCAGAAGGAUCAUUAACACGUAUCCAAACGUUAAAACCCCCCCCGUGAACCUUCAUCUUGCUCUUGUAAUCCGCAUAGUUCGCAAUCUCUGAUAAAUCAUAGCCCGGAAAGUUGUAGUGAUUCGGAGACCUCUGGCUACGUGCGAGCAUUGGAACAGUUACAAUCGAGCGGUAGUUCUAUAGGCAAUGUUUCCCCAAGCAGUCAGUGUCGGAAAGUGUAGUAUAGUCAGUUACACUCGGGCAGGAGCUUUGCCAAAGGGUCCCCAUGCCCCCUAAUAACCCCACAGUUUAAUGUGAAGCUCAAUGUAAUACAUUGGGUAAAAAAACCGAACAACUGUUAACAAUGGAUAUCUUGGUUCUC